CCCUGCACUUCUGUCGGAAAAAAGGGGGAAAAAAGAGUAACAUGCAUGCUUACUUUACAAGAGAGCUAUCUAGAAGAUUAGCUUCACAUAGGCAGUGAAUAUAACUCUUGAUAUAAACAUCCUCAAGUAUGGCUUUCCCUAACUACUUCCCCAGUUAUAUUUAUUGAUUAAACUAAUUUAUAUACCCUGGAUGCUGGCUUUGAAAACUGGAAGAAGUGUUUUCUCUCUCUUCGUCCCUUGCUUCAAAAAGGACUUUAGGUAUUUGUGACCAAAUAUGUUUGUACCAAUGAUUAUCAUUACUAAUGAGUGUGGGAUACUAAGCAUAAGUACGUCUUGAAUUAGUCCUUGCUUGCAACAGAUGGUACUAAAAAAUCUGAUACUUGCAGGCAAGUGGUUAUUAUCUUUCACUCACAAAUUUCAGAAGCAUUCUCACGAUUGGAUAUUAGCAGUCAACAAGCUAGACAAAGAACGUAUCGUGAUGUUCAGCAUCUGCUUGGAUGUAUCAGAUCAUUGCCUUCUGAUAGUAAAUCCAAUCCUCCUAAUUGGGGGCAACUUGAUGAGUUUCUGGCACAAAAUUUCUGUGCGGAAGCAAGUCAAUAGAUUCUUUGUAAAGUAGUCUACAUCUCAAAAACAUUGGAUAAGCGUGAUUGGAGCAAUCAAGAGGACACCUGAAGACUAUGCAUCAAUAUUGUACAAUUAAUUUGAAGAUGCGCGGUCUUCUAACUGGAUGUCUUAUUACCAAAUGGAGUUUUGAGGGGAGAAAGAGUCCUUAACAGCAAAUUUGGAGCUGUCAUACACAGUUUAUGAUUUGUCAGAUGAAUCGUUUUUUUUUUAAUGAUUGUAUUCUUUUGGCCUGGACAGUAGAUUUUUUCUUAUCUUGAUUUAGGAGAAAAGAAAGAGACAUGAGCUGACAGUGGAAGCUGAAUAAUUUUCACAGAGUGCAGUUGUAGUGUAUACUAGUGAAAGUAAUUGUAUGUAUCGGUUCCUUGCUUAAUUCAAGCAUGUUUUCUCCUGAU